rnacentral:rRNA from 1 species
CGGAGAGUUUGAUCCUGGCUCAGGACGAACGCUGGCGGCAUGCCUAAUACAUGCAAGUCGAACGAACCAUCCUGAAGAUUGAAGCUUGCUUCAUGAUUCAGAUUUUGGUGAGUGGCGGACGGGUGAGUAACACGUGGGUAACCUGCCCAAAAGUGGGGGAUAACAUUUGGAAACAAGUGCUAAUACCGCAUAACAACUACUUUCACAUGAUCGUAGCUUGAAAGAUGGCUCUGCUAUCGCUUUUGGAUGGACCCGCGGCGUAUUAGCUAGUUGGUGAGGUAAUGGCUCACCAAGGCAAUGAUACGUAGCCGACCUGAGAGGGUAAUCGGCCACAUUGGGACUGAGACACGGCCCAAACUCCUACGGGAGGCAGCAGUAGGGAAUCUUCCACAAUGGGCGAAAGCCUGAUGGAGCAAUGCCGCGUGAGUGAAGAAGGUUUUCGGAUCGUAAAACUCUGUUGUUGAAGAAGAACAUAUGUGAGAGUAACUGUUCACGUACUGACGGUAUUCAACCAGAAAGCCACGGCUAACUACGUGCCAGCAGCCGCGGUAAUACGUAGGUGGCAAGCGUUGUCCGGAUUUAUUGGGCGUAAAGAGAAUGUAGGCGGUUUAUUAAGUUUGAAGUGAAAGCCCUCGGCUCAACCGAGGAAGUGCUUCGAAAACUGGUAAACUUGAGUGCAGAAGAGGAAAGUGGAACUCCAUGUGUAGCGGUGGAAUGCGUAGAUAUAUGGAAGAACACCAGUGGCGAAGGCGGCUGUCUGGUCUGUAACUGACGCUGAGGCUCGAAAGUAUGGGUAGCAAACAGGAUUAGAUACCCUGGUAGUCCAUACCGUAAACGAUGAGUGCUAAGUGUUGGAGG